ensembl:lncRNA
AGACCGCUCAGCUCUCACUCUGAGGAGGUUACGGUCAGCAGGUCACUGAAUGAGCAGUUAAGUGGUGGUGGAACCAGGCCUCACAAUGUCUACUACACACUUACUGUCCAAAACCACCAGGGAACCUACAUGUGUCUUCAGAGUGUUUAUAUGCAAUGUUGUAGACCUCCAAACUUCAUGUGGCCUUCCGAUUAGCUCAAGAACAGCACAGAGAGCUUCAUGGAAUGGGUUUUCAUGGCCAAGCAGCUGCAUCCAAGCCUUAC